rnacentral:lncRNA from 1 species
ACACUGGGCCCCUCCUGAUUUAAAAACAUUGCAGAGGCGAUGUCUGGUGCCUGGGUGGUAUGCAGUACAUAUAGAAAGAUGGCUGGCCUACUUUUCUACUUCCCAGUUGCUAAUUAUUGAUGGACAACAGCUGAGAUCUGACCCAGCAACGGUGAUGGAUGAAGUCCAGAAGUUUCUAGGAGUUACACCUCAUUAUAAUUACUCUGAGGCACUGACGUUUGAUCCUCAAAAAGGCUUUUGGUGUCAACUACUGGAAGGAGGGAAAACCAAAUGUCUCGGGAAGAGCAAAGGACGGAGGUACCCACCCAUGGAUCCAGAGUCCAGAACUUUCCUCUCCAGUUACUACCGCGACCACAACGUGGAGCUCUCGAAGCUGCUGCACAGGUUGGGGCAGCCUCUGCCCUCGUGGCUAAGACAGGAGCUGCAGAAAGUGAGAUAGCGCCCUGGAGGAGCACAUGACACUGCGUCAUAAAAUCCCCAUCGAUGUUUUUCAUCAAAUGAAGACAUAUAUGCACGCAUUGGCAAUUAUAAGCAUUAUUCUUUACUUAAGGAUUUUGGAAAAUAAAAUGUGGGGUUUGCGGC